rnacentral:lncRNA from 1 species
GCAAUUAUGUUUUUAUGUAGUGCUACCUAUUACCUAAUACAAAAGCCAUCUUUAUGUCUGCAGAAAAACUUUCAUGGCUGCUAUCAUUCAAAACAAACACAAACAGUAGAUUGUACUCGAAUUGAAUCAGAUAUAUGAACCAUGUCUAUAUCAAGUAGGUAAUUUUGUUUAGCCUCAAAAGAGUGCGAGAGGAGGAACAAAUAUGCAUUAUUUACAGAGCAUCCUGAAAAAAUGAAUUACACAGAUAAACUGUGAAUCAAAUCCUGGAAGGGAUCAGAGGGGUAUUGUUCUGGAAGUAUGCACUGGCUGCUGCAACUCCGCUUCCGAGCUUAACAGGGUAUCCGACAUCCUUAAGCACCAUCUCCACACCAGCAAGACAACCCAACAGUUGCAACUGGAAACAGAAUAAUUAUCGGAUAUCAAAAACUGAGAAAGUUACUGCGUAAACCUUGUACUCCAUUAUAACCGUUUCAUUUUACUUGCUUUGCAAGCUUUCCCAAUGAUGUUCAUACGUAUCGUUAAGUUUAACUUUUGCCCCAUUCUCUUUACACAAACAACAAUGAAAAACAUAUGGUAUAUAGCACAACUUCGAGGAUGAUAAAUAAAUGAAUUGGGUGCUAUAAACAGGCCUCAUUGAAGUGAUGUUAUCAUUUGUAGAUUUUUGUGUUCUACCAUUUUCAUAUAGAGCGUAAUUGACAGAGCGAGGUCAAUAGGCUAGUUUCUACCUACUCUAUUACAUGAUAUCCAGUUUAAGCCGAAAAUAGGUCCACUUCCUUUUGUACUUCCAUUCCAACUGAUGUCGAAUGGUGCUUGAAAUAUGUAAAUAAUGUAAGAUGCAAAGGAUUGACAUUACCUCAUUCAGGUUGCCAAGAUGCCCUAUUCUGAAAACCUUGCCGGCUAUUUUGUUCAGGCCUAGGCCUAAGCUCAAAUUGUACCUUUUCCAUGCCCUUUUCACAAUUUCGGUACUGUCAAUGUAUGGAGGAACAAGAACAGCAGUCACUGUGUCACUCACCCAUUCCUCGCUUUGGGUGCAGUUCUUCAACCCCCAUGCCUCCACAGCAAGCCUGCACUUCCAAGUUGUAGGCAACGUUCAAAUACCCCAUUUAAUGCAAUACAACAGUAAACAAUUGGGAGACGAAUAGUUGUAACCAGAAGCUAUACCUUGUUGCUUUGCCCAAACGGCUAUGUCUUGCAAUCACAUUGUCAAGUCCUUCCUCAAAAAGAAGAUCAAGUGCUGUACGCAGCCCAUACAGCAACUGGAUGGAAGGGGUGUAUGGCCAGUAUGUUCCCAACUUAUAGAACUUCAAGUAGUCAUUCCAGUCGAAGAACACCCUCACGGAUUUUGCACUUUUAGAUGCCUCCAGAGCCUUGGGGCUUGCACACACAAUCCCAAUUCCAGUGGGGAGGGAAAGAGCUUUCUGAGAGCCAGUUAAAGCAACAUCUACCCCCCACUCGUCCAUACGGAAAUCAAGGGCACAUAUGGAAGACACUCCAUCGACAAGGAAGAGAGCCGGAUGCAUGUAGUUAUCUGAGAGUUCAAUGAAAAAGCAUGAGAAGCAUUCCAUGAAGGUAACUGACGAGUAAGAAAAGCAAGUAUCCAGAGAAAGGAAGAAAAUGUGACUAAGAUUAACUGAUGUCUGCAAGUACUCUGUGGCUCUGCCUCGGAUAGAUAAUAGAGAGCCACAUACAUAAGCAUAUAGACAACCAUUUUAGAACUGAUAAUAGAACAUGUACACAAGCAGAUUACGGAUAUAAAAUGAAAGCUAAAUCAGGCAUAGAAGAAGACAAGCCUACCAAGUAUUUUUCUGACUUUAGCCAAGUUGUUUGUGACUCCGGUGGCUGUUUCAUUGUGAACAAUGCAUAUUGCCUUUAUAGUGUGCGCUGUAUCUUCUGCAAUUUUUGAUUCCAGAACGUCAAGGUUAGCACCUUGGCCCCAAUCACUUUCUACAACAUCCACAUUGAACUUAAGGCGCUGCUGCUGAUCGAUCCACAGUAAACUGAAUUGGCCAAUCAGGAAAGAUACAAUCCGGUCUCCAGGAGAUAAUGUGUUUGUAAGUGCACUCUCCCAUGCACCAGUGCCUAAAAAAAUUUAGAGUAAUGUUAUAAAGAACUUAGCCAUUCACACUCAAUUAACCUAAUUAUGAACGUAAGAUCGCUUCUAGUUGUUCAGACCAUGUAUAAUACUGAGACACUACAAACAACUUUUCACAAGAUGUGAUAAAAGAAAGAACUAAUCUGAAAAGUACAUUACAACUGAAUGGAAAAAACUGAGACCAUAAUAGUUAUUGAGAUACCUGUGGUAGGGAUCAUAAAUGGAGUUCCAGAUGUAGUCUUGAAAAUCUUCUUCACAUCCUCGAGCAGAGUUUUGGUCAUUGCUGGGACAGCGGGAGAACGGUAAUCCUCAU